rnacentral:rRNA from 1 species
AGGGAAUCUUCCGCAAUGGACGAAAGUCUGACGGAGCAACGCCGCGUGAGUGAAGAAGGCCUUCGGGUCGUAAAACUCUGUUGCCGGGGAAGAACAAGUGCCGUUCGAACAGGGCGGUGCCUUGACGGUACCCGGCCAGAAAGCCACGGCUAACUACGUGCCAGCAGCCGCGGUAAUACGUAGGUGGCAAGCGUUGUCCGGAAUUAUUGGGCGUAAAGCGCGCGCGCAGGCGGCUUCUGAAGUCUGAUGUGAAAUCUUGCGGCUCAACCGCAAGCGGUCAUUGGAAACUGGGAGGCUUGAGUGCAGAAGAGGAGGGUGGAAUUCCACGUGUAGCGGUGAAAUGCGUAGAGAUGUGGAGGAACACCAGUGGCGAAGGCGGCUCUCUGGUCUGUAACUGACGCUGAGGCGCGAAAGCGUGGGGAGCAAAC